rnacentral:rRNA from 1 species
CCCUUAGAUGUCCUGGGCCGCACGCGCGCUACACUGAACGGAUCAGCGCGUUUUCCCUUCCCGAGAGGGACGGGUAACCUGCUGAACCCCGUUCGUGGUAGGGAUCGGGGCUUGCAAUUAUUCCCCGUGAACCAGGAAUGCCCAGUAAGUGCAAGUCAUAAGCUUGUGUUGAUUACGUCCCUGCCCUUUGUACACACCGCCCGUCGCUACUACCGAUUGAACGUUUUAGUGAGGUACUCGGACUGAGCCUCAGAAGAUUCACGUCUUUUGUGCUGCUCGGGAAGAUUCCCAAACUUGAGCGUUUAGAGGAAGUAAAAGUCGUAACA